AACUGUGCUACAAAUGGAGCCACAGA
rnacentral:piRNA from 1 species